CAAGAGUGUUCCAAUUCGAAGUAAAGCUUCCGAUUUAAGAUACAAGUGUUAGAGAUCCUCAAUAGGCGCAUCGUUGAAGAUCAUUUCUUUUUGGCUAUUUGGUGAGUCCUUCUUGUAUUCGAAGGAACUCCUUAUCCUUUUAUUAUUGUUGAGUGUGAUGUUUCUUUUGAGGUAGCCAUGGACAUGUCAUUGGCACCAUCUAAGAGUAUUAGAGGCUUCAUAGACAGAGUUUGAUGAUGUAA